AAAAAAAAGAUAGUGUGUUUUGGCCUUUUGGGUCAGAUCCUUUGAAUUUAUUUUUCCUUUUUUUUUGGACAGCGAAAUUUAUUUUCCCUUCUACUGCGUUCUUUCGGUUCUUUCUCUUAGUUUAUCUGAAUGUUCACUUCGAAUUUUGUCUUGCACAAAUAAUCAGCUCUCUAUCUCCUCUGCCCCGAAAGUGAGUGUGUUUGUGUGCGUGCUACAAAGUUUACUAUAUCUACAUGACGUCAUCACUUUCCAAGUGGGGACUUUUGUCUCUCUCCUUUGAUGGGUCCACAUUGGUACGUAAAUAUAUAAUAGUAUUUUACGUAUAAGAACAAGCAAGCUAGUGGUAUUUUCAUAAAAUUAUAAAGAGAAAUUGCACUGCAUAUACAAGCAUAACCGCUUAAUUUGCAGAUGUGGAAAAGUAUUUUUUUCAUCGACACGCACUUGAUUUUAUGACCAUUCUGCCCCUAGAUUCGUGUAACGCUACCUACAGCCUAUUCAAUUUCGAAACCUCCUUCCUCACGCGUCACCAAAAUCGAUACAACACUCAUCUCUCUCCUCGUUUACUUCACCGCUCAUUUUUUUGGGAAUUCUUCGUCUUCUCCGUAGAAAAUUAUUUUCGCAGGUUUCUAAUACCAAUCUCCGAUCACCGCAAACCUAAUUCCGAGUCGCGAUUACUUAUCACAUCCUUUGACGAUUUCAUGUUCCCCACGGGAGAUCAAAUGGCACACACCUUUUCCAUCUCGGUUCUUUGCCAUUGGAGAUGAACCCGAUGGUUUGAGAGUCACUUUCUACCACCUACCACAAGCCUGGAUGCAUAAAGCAUAUAUUAGAGACACUCGAGGAAGACGAACUCGAAGUCCUAAAGGCGUCGUCUUUUGGCAAAUUCAUAGAGCUGGCAGACCAGUCUCCAUAUUCCGGUCGUCUUGGACGUUUCACGAAGUCGAGACAGCUUAAAGUAAACAAGAAAUACGAGGCAAUGGUAUUAAACCAGCACACGCAAGGACGCUGGACGCAGCUGAAAAUUUGUAGGUCCAUGUUACGUCUAUUAUUCCUCAGGACCUGAAAGCACUGACCGUGGAAAGGGCAAGGUCUGUCCUUCAAAACCCCAAUCAUGCUCAUUCUGGGAUCACAUCCAUCUUGUUCAUGCAAGCACACACUGAUGCUGGUAUAUCAAUCAUGUAGUGAAGUCUGUAUUUUUCUUAGUUUGCAAAUUUUGAAGUUCUUGAAGUUAUACUGAUAUAACUUCAAAAUUAUUCGUUUAUACGAAAUUCAUAUAAGUGUCUAAAACCAAAAAUAUGCAGCCAUGUGUUUACGUUGCAUCGAUUUGACAACCUAAUCUAUAUUUUAGUCAUAAUAACCAGCUACCUAUUCA